UAGGGAAUCUUCCACAAUGGACGAAAGUCUGAUGGAGCAACGCCGCGUGAGUGAUGAAGGCUUUAGGGUCGUAAAACUCUGUUGUUGGAGAAGAACGUGUGUGAGAGUAACUGCUCAUGCAGUGACGGUAUCCAACCAGAAAGCCACGGCUAACUACGU
rnacentral:rRNA from 1 species